GCAGCGCAGGCGGCAGACAGGGCUCUGAGCUUUCCGCCUGGCUGCCGGGCACUGUGUUCACAGGGCUCCACACAGGAGAUCGGACAGGAGCCGGUCCAUGGCGCCCCCUGCUCCGUCUCCCUGCAGGAGGGGCAGGAGCCCCACACCAGCACCAGAGCCCAGGGCAGGCUCAGGGGGGAAAACGUGUCCACAGGGGACAGGAAUGAGACCUGCAUGGUGUGGAGCGUCCAGGCGGGCAGGCUGGAGAAGCUGGGGGGAAACCUGGUGCCUGCCUUCCUGGGCGGGGCCCCCUCCGACCUCGCCACAUUCCUGGUCUCCUACAGGGCUUCCCCUACCACCCAACAGAUGCUGGAGCUUCUCUUCACAAGCCCCCAGCAUUUCCCCGCCUGAAGAUGCUCCUGGCUUACAUGGAGCUCAGCAUGCCUGGCUCAGACCUGGAGCACCGAGCCCGCCUUCUCCUGGCAC